AAUAGAUACCCAGGUAGUCCAUGCCGUAAACGUUGGGCACUAGGUGUGGGGGACAUUCCACGUUUUCCGCGCCGUAGCUAACGCAUUAAGUGCCCCGCCUGGGGAGUACGGCCGCAAGGCUAAAACUCAAAGGAAUUGACGGGGGCCCGCACAAGCGGCGGAGCAUGCGGAUUAAUUCGAUGCAACGCGAAGAACCUUACCAAGGCUUGACAUGGACCGGAUCGCCGCAGAAAUGUGGUUUCUCCUUUUGGGGCCGGUUCACAGGUGGUGCAUGGUUGUCGUCAGCUCGUGUCGUGAGAUGUUGGGUUAAGUCCCGCAACGAGCGCAACCCUCGUUCCAUGUUGCCAGCGCGUAAUGGCGGGGACUCAUGGGAGACUGCCGGGGUCAACUCGGAGGAAGGUGGGGACGACGUCAAAUCAUCGAUGCCCCCUUAUGUCUUGGGCUUCACGCAUGCUACAAUGGCCGGUACAAAGGGUUGCGAUACUGUGAGGUGGAGCUAAUCCCAAAAAGCCGGUCUCAGUUCGGAUUGGGGUCUGCAACUCGACCCC
rnacentral:rRNA from 1 species